rnacentral:tRNA from 1 species
AUUUAAAUAGUUUAAAAAAAAUUUUAGUUUGUGGAACUAAAGAUAUGAUUGUCAUUUUAGAUA